UACGGAGGAUGCGAGCGUUAUCCGGAUUUAUUGGGUUUAAAGGGUGCGUAGGCGGACUGUCAAGUCAGCGGUAAAAUUGAGAGGCUCAACCUCUUCCCGCCGUGGAAACUGGUAGACUUGAGUGCAGGAGAGGAGAGUGGAAUUCCAUGUGUAGCGGUGAAAUGCGUAGAUAUAUGGAGGAACACCGGUGGCGAAAGCGGCUCUCUGGCCUGUAACUGACACUGAGGCUCGAAAGCGUGGGGAGCAAACAGG
rnacentral:rRNA from 1 species